rnacentral:rRNA from 1 species
CGGGCGGACGGGUGAGUAACGCGUGGGUAACCUACCCUGUACACACGGAUAACAUACCGAAAGGUAUGCUAAUACGGGAUAAUAUAUUUGAGAGGCAUCUCUUGAAUAUCAAAGGUGAGCCAGUACAGGAUGGACCCGCGUCUGAUUAGCUAGUUGGUAAGGUAACGGCUUACCAAGGCGACGAUCAGUAGCCGACCUGAGAGGGUGAUCGGCCACAUUGGAACUGAGACACGGUCCAA